AUUGAACGCUGGCGGCAUGCUUUACACAUGCAGGUCGAACGGCAGCGCGGGCUUCGGCCUGGCGGCGAGUGGCGAACGGGUGAGUAAUGCAUCGGAACGUGCCCAGUAGUGGGGGAUAGCCCGGCGAAAGCCGGAUUAAUACCGCAUACGACCUGAGAGUGAAAGCGGGGGACCGAAAGGCCUCGCGCUAUUGGAGCGGCCGAUGUCGGAUUAGCUAGUUGGUGGGGUAAAGGCUUACCAAGGCGACGAUCCGUAGCUGGUCUGAGAGGACGACCAGCCACACUGGGACUGAGACACGGCCCAGACUCCUACGGGAGGCAGCAGUGGGGAAUUUUGGACAAAGGGGGCAACCCUGAUCCAGCCAUGCCGCGUGCGGGAAGAAGGCCUUCGGGUUGUAAACCGCUUUUGUUCGGGAAGAAAUCCUCUGGGCUAAUACCCCGGGGGGAUGACGGUACCGGAAGAAUAAGCACCGGCUAACUACGUG
rnacentral:rRNA from 1 species